rnacentral:rRNA from 1 species
UCCGUAGGCGGGCAAUUAAGUCAGAGGUGAAAUCCCACAGCUCAACUGUGGAACUGCCUUUGAUACUGGUUGUCUUGAGUUACAGUGAAGUAGAUAGAAUAUGUAGUGUAGCGGUGAAAUGCAUAGAUAUUACAUAGAAUACCAAUUGCGAAGGCAGUCUACUAACUGUAUACUGACGCUAAUGGACGAAAGCGUGGGGAGCGAACAGGAUUAGAUACCCUGGUAGUCC